rnacentral:tRNA from 5 species
GCCGACGUAGCUCAGGGGUAGAGCACUUCCAUGGUAAGGAAGGGGUCGUGAGUUCAAAUCUCACCGUUGGCUCAA